rnacentral:rRNA from 1 species
UCCUGGCUCAGAUUGAACGCUGGCGGCAUGCUUUACACAUGCAAGUCGAACGGCAGCACGGGGGCUUGCUCCUGGUGGCGAGUGGCGAACGGGUGAGUAAUGCAUCGGAACGUACCCAGUAGUGGGGGAUAGCCCGGCGAAAGCCGGAUUAAUACCGCAUAUUUCCUGAGGGAGAAAGCGGGGGACCUUCGGGCCUCGCGCUACUGGAGCGGCUGAUGUCGGAUUAGCUAGUUGGUGAGGUAAAGGCUCACCAAGGCGACGAUCCGUAGCUGGUCUGAGAGGAUGAUCAGCCACACUGGGACUGAGACACGGCCCAGACUCCUACGGGAGGCAGCAGUGGGGAAUUUUGGACAAUGGGGGCAACCCUGAUCCAGCCAUGCCGCGUGAGUGAAGAAGGCCUUCGGGUUGUAAAGCUCUUUCAGGUGGAAAGAAAUCACUACCCCGAAUACGGGUGGUGGAUGACGGUACCAUCAGAAGAAGCACCGGCUAACUACGUG